AACACCCGUAGCCCGCGCGCCCGAGACAGCAACCCAAACUCGCACCCCUCAGUGACACGUGUCACUAAUACAUACGCCGACUCCUUUGACUCCAGUGGCUCAGCUUCACGAAGUCCCCAGCUAAAAAAAAUAGCUUAUUCGGCUCAGGUUGGCAAUUUUGACACCGAUCCUUCAGCUUUUUACCCUUUUCCAGCUGAUUUUGUCCCUAAUUAAGGAAAUGACUCACGGCGAUACUUAGAACAACUACAAGAAAUGGAAGACAAGCGUACUCGUAUUUUGAAAAAUGUGGGCUAAGGUCAACUAAGUAAGUCGUUUUACUAUCGGAUAGGUUGGAAGACUUGUUUGAUGUAUGACGACACGUGCUUAGUGGCCCAUAUAUGUGUCAUUUAUGCUUUAUAUUUAUAUUAUUGUGACUAUAUUAUAUGAUAAUGAUGUAGGAGGUAUGACGUAUGAUCUAUGA